UUCCCUUCAAGUUUCUCCAAUCUCUCCUCUCUUCAGUUAUUGAAGGUUGAAAAUAAUCGUCUUGAAAGCCAGAUUCCAGAAGAUAUUGAUAGAUUGCACAAUCUCUCGGUGGUCAAGCUUGGGAAGAAUCGUUUUAGUGGUGAGAUUCCUGCAAGUUUUGGGAACAUUUCUGCUAUUAGCCAACUUGAUUUCUCAGAAAAUAACUUCACUGGACAGAUUCCAACAUCAUUGACCCGGUUGUUGAAUCUAACCUCUUUCAAUGUCUCUUACAACAAUCUCUCUGGCCCUGUCCCAGUUCUCCUAUCAAAUAAGUUCAAUGCGAGCUCUUUUGUAGGGAACCUUCAACUGUGUGGUUUUAGUACUUCAACUCCAUGCCUACCUGCAUCCUCCCCACAGAAUA
rnacentral:lncRNA from 1 species